AGAGUUUGAUUAUGGCUCAGGACGAACGCUGGCGGCGUGCCUAACACAUGCAAGUCGAACGGAACUCUUUGGAACAAGGCUUCGGCCAAGGGAAACUGAGUUUAGUGGCGAACGGGUGAGUAACGCGUGAACAAUCUGCCUUUCAGAGGGGGACAACAGUUGGAAACGACUGCUAAUACCGCAUAAUGUACCGAGAGGGCAUCCUCAUGGUACCAAAGAUUUAUCGCUGAGAGAUGAGUUCGCGUCUGAUUAGCUAGUUGGUGGGGUAACGGCCCACCAAGGCGACGAUCAGUAGCCGGGUUGAGAGACUGACCGGCCACAUUGGGACUGAGAUACGGCCCAG
rnacentral:rRNA from 1 species